rnacentral:lncRNA from 1 species
UUCAUCUCUCUGGUCGCUAUCACCGGGGACAUGCCGUCCCCAGCUCAGUGACAAAAAUGCUGAGUUUCUUCCGUAGAACACUAGGGAGUCGGUCUAUGGGUAAACAUGCAGAGAAGGAACGACUCCGAGAAGCACAAUGCGCUGCCACACAUAUUCCUGCCCCUGGAGAUUCCAGGUCCAUCAUCACGUGUCAGGUGUCCCUUCUGGAUGGUACUGAUGUUAGUGUGGACUUGCCAAAAAAAGCCAAAGGGCAAGAGUUGUUUGAUCAGAUUAUGUAUCACCUGGAUCUUAUUGAAAGUGGCUAUUUUGAUCUGAGAUUUAUGGAUUCAGCACAAGUAGCAUCACCAAAGUAAUUCAAUGGAAGAAGAAUAGUCUCAAUAAUGGUGCUGGAUUAGAACCUGUGG